rnacentral:rRNA from 1 species
UACGUAGGGGGCAAGCGUUGUCCGGAAUCAUUGGGCGUAAAGCGCGUGUAGGCGGCCCGGUAAGUCCGCUGUGAAAGUCCAGGGCUCAACCCUGGAAUGCCGGUGGAUACUGUCGGGCUCGAGUCCGGAAGAGGCGAGUGGAAUUCCUGGUGUAGCGGUGAAAUGCGCAGAUAUCAGGAGGAACACCGAUGGCGAAGGCAGCUCGCUGGGACGGUACUGACGCUGAGACGCGAAGGCGUGGGGAGCGAACAGG